rnacentral:rRNA from 1 species
UACGGGGGGGGGCAAGCGUUGUUCGGAAUUACUGGGCGUAAAGGGCGCGUAGGCGGCCGUUUGCGUCGGAUGUGAAAGCCCGGGGCUCAACCUCGGAACGGCAUUCGAUACGGGACGCUGGAGACCGGGAGAGGAGGAGUGGAAUAGCCAGUGUAGAGGUGAAAUCGUAGAUAUUGGCUGGGAACACCGGUGGCGAAAGCGGCUCUCUGGCCCGGUUCUGGCAC